rnacentral:rRNA from 1 species
CCUACGGGAGGCAGCAGUGGGGAAUAUUGGACAAUGGGGGGAACCCUGAUCCAGCGACGCCGCGUGAGUGAAGAAGUAUUUCGGUAUGUAAAGCUCUAUUAGCAGGGAAGAAAAUGACGGUACCUGACUAAGAAGCCCCGGCUAACUACGUGCCAGCAGCCGCGGUAAUACGUCGGGGGCCAGCGUUAUCCGGAUUUUCGGGGUGUAAAGGGAGCGUAGGCGGUGCAGCAAGUCUGAUGUGAAAGGUCGGGGCCCAACCCCGGGACUGCAGUGGAAACUGUUGAGCUGGAGUACAGGCGAGGCAAGCGGAAUUCGUAGUGUAGCGGUGAAAAGCGUAGAUAUGAGGAAGAACACCAAUUGCGAAGGCAGCUUACUGGACUGUAACUGACGUUGAGGCUCGAAAGCGUGGGGAGCGAACAGGAUUAGAUACCCUUGUAGUC